GACGAACGCUGGCGGCGUGCUUAACACAUGCAAGUCGAGCGGAGCGGCGAACGGGUGAGUAACGCGUGAGUAACUGCCCCCCUCUCUGGGAUAACAGUUGGAAACGGCUGCUAAUACCGGAUAGUGGGGGAUGACUCGCGUCCUAUCCGCUUGUUGGUGGGGUAGUGGCCUACCAAGGCGACGACGGGUAGCCGGCCUGAGAGGGCGACCGGCAACAAGGGGCUGCGAUACGGACCAAACGAGUACAGGAGGCAGCAGGGGUGAGUAUUGCGCAAUGGGGGAAACUCUGAUGCAGAAACGCCGCGUGCGGGAUGACGGCCUUCGGGUUGUAAACCGCUUUCAGCCAUGACGCGGUAGUGGCAGAAGAAGCACCGGCUAACUACGUGCCAGCAGCCGCGGUAAUUC
rnacentral:rRNA from 1 species